AAGUCGUAACAAGGUUUCCGUAGGUGAACCUGCGGAAGGAUCAUUAACACGUAUCCAAACGUAAAACCCCCCCGUGAACCUUCAUCCUGCUCUUGUAACCCGCGUAGUUCGCAAUCUCUGAUAAAGCAUAGCCCGGAAGGUUGUAGUGAUUCAGAGACCUCUGGCUACAUUGGAACAGUUACAAUCGAGCGGUGGUUCUAUAGGCAAUUAACAAUGGAUAUCUUGGUUCUC
rnacentral:misc_RNA from 1 species